rnacentral:rRNA from 1 species
UACGGAGGGUGCAAGCGUUAUCCGGAUUCACUGGGUUUAAAGGGUGCGUAGGCGGAAUUGUAAGUCCGUGGUGAAAUCUCCGAGCUUAACUCGGAAACUGCCGUGGAUACUAUAGUUCUUGAAUGUUGUGGAGGUUUGCGGAAUAUGUCAUGUAGCGGUGAAAUGCUUAGAUAUGACAUAGAACACCGAUUGCGAAGGCAGCAGGCUACACAAAUAUUGACGCUGAGGCACGAAAGCGUGGGGAUCAAACAGGAUUAGAUACCCGGGUAGUCC